rnacentral:rRNA from 1 species
AGCGAACGCUGGCGGCAGGCUUAACACAUGCAAGUCGAGCGCCCCGCAAGGGGAGCGGCAGACGGGAGAGUAACACGUGGGAACGUACCUUUCAGUUCGGAACAACCAAGGGAAACUUUGGCUAAUACCGAAUACGCCCGUAAGGGGAAAGAUUUAUCGCUGAAAGAUCGGCCCGCGUCUGAUUAGCUAGUUGGUGGGGUAAUGGCCCACCAAGGCGACGAUCAGUAGCUGGUCUGAGAGGAUGAUCAGCCUCACUGGGACUGAGACACGGCCCAGACUCCUACGGGAGGCAGCAGUAGGGAAUUUUCCACAAUGGGGGCAACCCUGAUGGAGCAACGCCGCGUGCAGGAUGAAUGCCUUCGGGUUGUAAACUGCUUUUAUUAGUGACGAUUAUGACGGUAACUAAUGAAUAAGGACCUGCUAACUACGUGCCAGCAGCCGCGGUAACAC